UGGUUUAUACCUAAGAUUUUUUUUAAAAAUAUAUUAUUAACAUAACAAGAGGAAACAUAGAUUUGAUUCUUUAUUUAUUCAUUUCUUUUAUUUUCUUUCAUUUUCUCUUAAGCUCAAAGGCUGUUUUUAUUUCCACAGUGAUGGCAGCAGCAGUGUUCAGGAGCAGAGGACUGGCUGGUGUCAGAAACACCAACGUUUUAAUCCUCAUCUUUCUGCUGUCCCUGGUUUAUGUCACAAAUUCACUGAUGAAAUUUUAAGCCUGUGUCGGCAACAAGGCGGGACCGCUACUUCGCAAAGAACAAGACUCGCUUGAGCGCACUCCUUAAACAGGAGGAUCCGAAAGAGACGGAGAAGUUCUGAGAGGAGCAGCGACUUGACUUCGGUAAUCUGAAGCAAAGACAUGAAUUCUGUCACUCCAGGAAUUGAACACCUCCAGUAAGAGAAACACACCCUGUAAUAGAGUGUAUAUUUAAUGAUGACCUUGAGAAGCUUAAAACAUUACUGAAGAACAGUGAUGUUAAUGAACUUUAUCACUGUAAAGACUGGGAUGAUGAUAUAACCCCACUGAUUGCUGCUGUUGCAAAGCACAACAAACCUAUAUCUUUUGACCUUUUAAUUAAUGGUGCGGACCCAAAUAUAACUUCUAAACACCACUUCACACCUUUGCAUUAUUUCUCCCUGACCAACACACUUGAUUUUGUGGAGAAACUCCUGGAAGCAAAUUCUCAUCCAGAUGGAUCUACUCCAAUGCAACCACAUAAACACACAUCAGUGCCAACUGCUGAUAUUAGAGACAAAGAGGAUGUCAUGCAAAGACUCAUUUCUGCUGGUGCACGGGUCACAUUGCUGCCCAAGAAUGAUGCUGAGUGUGUUAGUAACAAUAAUAAAAAGUCUCAGAUGAUUGCAUCAAAUGAAGAUGAGGCAUUUUCCAAGAUCAGAGAUUUUAUUGAUGUGGAAACUGCUGCUUUUAAAACACCUGAAGAAGUGUUUACAACUGAUAACAAUAAGAUGCUGUUAGAGAAUCCAGAGUCACAUUUGACCAUAUAUGAAAUUCUCUUUACUGGGAGAGGAAAAGAAAAACAUGGCCAGAGAUGUAUUACAUGGCUAAAGGAAACUGGAAAUGUGAAUACUUACAUUGCAGGUGCAGCCAGUCGUUUUCCAAACAUCCCUAAGACACAUGUAAGGCUGGCAGUUGAAGGUUUAAAUGCAGUUUUCUGUACAAUGGAUGACAUAACAAAUGAGCAUGCAGUAGCUAUAGUUCCACAACUACUGAACCUGCUUGACUCACAAGACAGUGGUGUUUGUGAAGCAGUGCUACAAACACUCUAUGUGAUAACACAGAAAACAAAAGGCACAAAGAGCUGGGACUUUUUAGAGAACUUAUGCAGAACAGUUGCCCCUUUUGUAAAUGAGAAGCACCCCACUAACAUCAGGGUCUACACAUAUAGCAUAGUCGCAAAUCUGAUGUCAGUUGAACAGGCAGCUAAAAUUUUUACAUCAGAGGUUGUAACUUCCGUGCCCAAGGACAUACUGACAUCAGCUGAAAUGAAAAUGAAUCAAAAGCUGAAAGAAGUGCUGAGAAGUCUGAAAAAUUAUUUGAGCAAACCAAACUCAGAAUGUGAGGGAAAUGCAGCAUCGUCUGUGGCCAGGAAUAUGAAGGAAAUGCCGGAAUCAGCUUCAGAUGAAACGCCUUUCAACCAACACGAGUUUCGCAGGACACCAGUGAGCAAGAGGUGGAAGAAGCUCCUGGAUAAACUGGAGCAAGAUGUUCGCAAUGGGAAAAAAAACAGUAAUCAGAAUCGGAAAAUGUUUUUAUGUGAAUGAUUCAAACUUAAAAUAAAUAAAAAAGAAAAGGGUACUGAAGUCUUCUUGGGACUGAGAGAGGAUGGCACAGAAGUUACCAUUAAGAAAAUGUCUAAAAGCAACAGUGGCAAUCUGAAGAGUGAAAAAGAAAUCCUACAACUCCCUAAACUCGAUCAUCCUCAUAUCAUACGAUAUGUUGAUGUUGAAGAGGACAAGAAAUUUGAAUAUCUUUGUCUGCAACUUUUUGAAUACACCUUGGAUAGCUAUAUCAACGAAAUUAAUAAAGACCGUGGGAAAGAUUUCCUUUUACAGAGACUCGUCAAACAACUUCUUGAAAGUCUAAAGGUGCUUCACUCUCAAGAUCCUCCAAUUCUCCACAAAAAUCUCAUACCCAAGAACAUUUUGAUUGAUGUUAUUGGGAGGGUAAGAUUAGCUGGUUUUGGCAUGAGCAACCAGAAACAAGACUCAUACACGUCAAGCAGUGAAAUAAAGGUGGCAGGAUUUCUGAUUUCUCAUAUCCUCUCUGGAGCCCGGCGUAAAUUUAAAACUGAAAUCAAAAAAUGUAAGGACAAUUUGAAACAUAUUAACGAUGUGGUGGCAAAGAAUCUCAUCAAGUGGAUGAUCAGAGAUGAGCCAGAGGGCAGACCCAAAGCAGAAGAAUGCUUGGACCAUCCCUUCUUCUGGACUAAGAACGAGAAAUUUGAAUACCCGAGAUGGACUGCUAACAGGAAGGAAGUGAAAAACUGUCGGGAGGCUGACCAGAACCUGAAACCCUUUAAAGACUGGAAAAAAGAGUUUUCAUCCACUAUUGUUACGGAGCUGGACACUUAUAGUCGUGAAACACCUCCCAAACCCAAACCAUACCCUGAAACUGUAUUUGGACUGCUCCUUUUUAUACGUAAUCUCCAUGAGCAUUAUCCGCAUUACGCAAAGGAGUGUGAUGCAGUGAACAAAUUUCCAGAUCUCUUUGGUUGGGUUUACAAGUAUGCCGAGGACCAUCACUGGAAUUCAGAGUCACCUUUGAAAGAAAUGUUUCAAAGAAAAAAAGACAAAGUGGACUUUAGCACAGUGUUGUGAUGCCAUCUAUGAGCACUGAGGAGUGAGCAGUCUCAACCUACUAAAAUGAAAAUGAAAUGAAAGUUGAAUUCAGAAUGAAGGACCACUCAGUGGCUGUGGAGCUUGAGAGAAGUAAUAAAAAUAUGUAAAUAUAAGUAUUAUUGUAUGGCGCUCAUCUUACUUCAGUAUCUUUUAUUUUGUCAGGCUGUAUACUUUCAAAGACUUCUUUUAGUUUUGUUUUGCUACUAGUUAACUCCCAAUUGAAUGAAGAUAGGUAGAAACAAUGGAGGUUCAGGAUGAAGAAUCUCAUGAAUGACUAAGGCUAACAUACUGCCAGUGAAAAACAAGAAAAGCAGUUAGUAGCUUUAGAACCACAGAUGUAAUUAAACCAUAAGAUGCAGGCUGUGUUCUUCUCAGGCAUGUACAAGCAUGACCCUGAAACUAUACCUAAAUUGAUUUAAGCUAAAUUUAAGUUCAAUGUAUUUGAGCUACAAUGUAUGAUUUGUGUCUGUUAUCGUCUACUGUGCCUUGUAUGAAAUAAUAAUUAUAUUAUCUUUUUUGCCAAAGUCUCACAGAAGCAUAUUAGAAAAUCAUUUUUUUGUGAAAUUGCAUACUUUUUUAUGUAGUUAAUCUAGCAUGAUACCUUUAUUUUGCUGUAUUUGUUUAUUCAGUUAAUUUUGAAGCCUAAUUCUACAUCACGAAAUGAAAAGAAGAGAACGAAUAGAUAUAAAUGAAAUUCUUUUGAUCUCUUUCAUAAAAAUUUAACUUAGAAAAAGGAGCAUCUGAUUAUUCCACUAGUUUUUUGAACUUUCCACUUCCUGUUGUAGGCUUACAGAGCUUAUGAAUAAAAUAGUAUGCACAUGCAUUUUGUUAUGUAAAAUUUUCAUUAUAUGAUCCAAAUUGUACAAACAUUCUAUCACACAAGUCUUUAUACUUAAUUGUAAGAUCCACAAACAGAUGUGGCAGAUAUUAUAUUGGAUUUCAUAAAAUGCCAAGCUUCUGAGACCUUCUUUAAAAAAAAAACUUUAAAAAUGUGAUGAAUUGUGCGUAUUUUAUUCGAACUUUUAAAUUUACUUUUAGUAGUAAUAGUCUGGAGGUCGAUUCUUAUCUAGCUUAAUAAAUUUGUAAAAAUGUCACAGUGAAUAUAAAAUGUUUUAUACUUUUUUCACUUUAAAGCUCAUUGAGGUAAAAUAAAGGUAACCAGAGAACA